rnacentral:rRNA from 1 species
UACGGAGGGUGCGAGCGUUGUCCGGAAUCACUGGGCGUAAAGGGCGCGUAGGCGGCCUGGCAAGUCGAUGGUGAAAGCCCGAGGCUCAACUUCGGGUCGGCCACUGAUACUGCUGGGCUUGAGUCGACUAGAGGCAGAUGGAAUUCCGGGUGUAGCGGUGGAAUGCGUAGAGAUCCGGAAGAACACCGGUGGCGAAGGCGGGUCUCUGGGCGAGUAACUGACGCUGAGGAGCGAAAGCGUGGGGAGCGAACAGG